GCCAACUGACUAUGAACUUAACCCCCUGAAGCUGUGAGUUAAAUGAACCUUUUCUCCUUGAAGUUGUAUAUGUCAGUACUUUCUCCUAGCAACAAAAACUGACAAAUACAACCAUAAUCAAGAGGCCAACGAGGGCCGCUUCUGUCACUUGUUGUCCAUGGCUGACCGCUUGGAUCACCUGCUGGAGAGCCUGGACCAGCUGGAGCUGUGGGUUGAAGCUGGAGCUGCGGGGAGAAGCAGCAACUGCUAUUGAGAAAGAAAAAGAAAUCCUCCUGGAGAUGAUCCACAGCAUCCAGAACAGCCAGGACAUGCUGCAGAUCAGCGAUGGUUCCCACUCCUAACUUCAGUGCUUUCCAAAUUACUGUGCUGCGGGUUUGAUGGGACGGACACUCACAAUCAGAAACAAUCAGAAACCCACAGCAGAACAAUCAGAACUUAUCUCAAUUUUUCUUAGUACUGUAUAGUGUUUCUCAGAACAUGAUCUAUGGAGACCAUACAUCAGCACAUCUGGGAUGCUGGUUAAAAUGCAGACUGCAGGUUUUUAUAAUUAGAAUCUUUCAAGGGGUAGUCAAAGAUCAUAAUUUUAAACAAAUUCCACAUGUAAACCCUCUGUGUACUCAAGUUUAAUAGCUUUUAGGCCAGUACAUCCAGAUCUCAUUGUGCCCUCCUCCAUUCAAGCUUCUUUCUCAACCAUGAAACUACUAUAUUUACAAGGAAUUUUUAGUGACAAGUCCAUAAUCCACAUGGGUUAUGUUUUGGACUGUUAAGAAUUCUGAAGCACUCCCUUUCUUUCAUGGGUUUUUGUUUUCUUUGUUUAUUUUCCAAGUCGAUGCAUAUUUUUCCUGAGCAAAUUUCUUGGACAUGAGCCAUGUGCUCAAUACUAGUGACAUACAAAUAUAUGACUGCAGUUUACUUAGGGCAGAUUUUCCAAAUAAAUUUCAUCCUCCUUUUUGCCAAACAAUGACAUUGUGUUUCUGGAAGAAUACAACAUUAUCUGAAUAACUAUUUUCUCUAUUUUAUCAUCUUUGAAGCAUAAAGUGAAGUUAUUUUAUUAUAUAAAAUGGAUAAAAUAUUUUAUGGCAGCAGUCUUCAAACCCUUUGAGUUUCAGAGCCCCAUUAUACUUUUAAACAUUAAUGAGCAGCACAAAGAGCUUAAUCUUAAGAGCAGACCUAUCAG
ensembl:lncRNA